GUGAGUCAUCGAAUCUUUGAACGCACAUUGCGCCCGCCAGCAUUCUGGCGGGCAUGCCUGUUCGAGCGUCAUUUCAACCCUCAGGCCCUGCCUGGCGUUGGAGGACUGCGCACGCAGCCUCCCAAAGCGAGCGGCGGCGGCGCCCCGAAACCGAACGCAGUAGUUACCUCUCGUUCUGGGUCCGGGUCGUUGUCCUGCCGGAAAACCCCCAUCUUAUCAAUGGUUGACCUCGAAUCAGGUAGGAAUACCCGCUGAACUUAAGCAUAUCAAUAAGCGGAGGA
rnacentral:misc_RNA from 1 species